GUCACUGAAAUGAAAUAUGAAGACUUGGAUGGUUGAAACACAUUCUCUUCUCGUUAAUGACUUUGAGCCCUGAGGCCUCAAACAGGAGCCUGCAGACCUUCGGAUUGAUCCCCUCCUGUCUCCUUCAGCUUUCUUCAGCUGCCACGCCACAUCCUCGCUUCCCGGCCAUCAACGCAACCUUAUCAUCCAAAGCCAUUUCCUGUUCGCAAGAAUGCAUAGCCGAACUUAGCCAAAUGCAUCUAGGAAAAUAGAAGCAGCUCAGGGUGUUGUGAGAUUCCCCCUAGAGCACGUGUGAGGAGGAAAUAAAUCUACACAGACCUCAAGUGGUUCAGGGAAGACCUUUUCCAUCAACAUUGUGUGGAUGGUCAUAUGAGGUGCACCAUGAACCUUCUGACUUGGAGCUUCUCCUUGUCACAGUGAGAUUAAACCCGUUUGUAAGUCCAGCGGCUGUAUCUGCGCUGAGGGUUAUGACAUCACAUACUGUAUGUCCUUUGCUGCUUCUGCAGCUGCAGCGGGGGGUGCCUGCGAGACGAGCGGCAUUAAUAACUGAGCUAGCACUGGGAUCUAGCGUCUGAUUUUGCCCUGCUCUGCAAAUCCUUUACGCUGGAGUCUGGUGUCACUGAUAAUAGGCCCCUCUGGGAGCCCUGUACAGUAGCAGGGCCUGCAAAACUGUCUGCAUAUGAAAGGGGCUCCCACUCACGGCCUACUUCUGAAAAGCUGUCGGUGGUGGGAGGGAGAGGAGCAGCGGAUAAGGAGGAGGAGGACAGAAUUAGAAUGAGGAAGUUCAAACUCAUUGAUGCAAGACAAAAGUGGAGUAAUUGAGUUCAAGGUGAAGAAGUGUGGCCUUCAACUUUGCAAGCGAGAGCUUCACUGUGUGGUGAUUAGAUGUUUGGUAGGUUUGUCUUUCGUUUUUUGAGAAAUGUUUGCGAAAGUUUUCCACACAAUAGCCCUGCAUGCUGAGAAGGCUAGUAUGGUGCUACACUGAGAAAAAAAUAAAUAUUAAUAUAAAUAAAAAAAUAGUAUAUAUAUAUAUAUAUAUAUAUAUAUAUAUAUAUAUCAGUUAAAGUAUGCUAUAAAUAUGCUGAAUAAUAUAUAUUUCUGCAUUAUUCUGAAAAAAAGAUAUUUUUUCUUUAAACAUUUUUAAUA
ensembl:lncRNA